CAUCUUUGAGAAACACUACAAAUACUGUAAGUAUUAAAAAGGUGCAACACACCCUCAAAACCAU
rnacentral:tRNA from 1 species